GCUCGCGUAGCUCAGUGGUAGAGCAUUGUACUUAUGA
rnacentral:tRNA from 1 species